rnacentral:lncRNA from 1 species
ACCACCCACGUGCUCUAUUAGCGCCAUUCAAGAGUACGGGGUUGUGCAGUGAGCAACAGCGCCCCCUUUCACCGCCCCGUCUAGCUGCCCUUUAACUGCAGGGGCGCGAGUUACACCAUAGAGCGUCACUGAUGUGUGAGCGAAAGACAGCAAACACUCGGGGAAAGCAGUCCACCAUGGCCAGCAUUGAAGUGGAGGAGGACAGUGAGCUGGAAACGCCUCUCUUCAGGCAGUACCAUGCCAGCGAAAUGCUUCCAAGCAAGAAGCUUCCACUCCACAAUCUGCUUGUGAAACAGCCCAUGUCCAUGGGGGCUGUGCAGACAGUGUGUGGGAUCAUGAUUUUUGGGCUUGGAGUGACCGUAGCAGUAACACCAACUGACACGCUUGGUAUUGUUCUGAGAGUACCAAUUGUCACUGGAAUUCUGUUUUUCAUUUCAGGACUGUUGUCUUUCCUGCUGUUCAAAUUUCCUGUACUGCUGCCUAUUUCUUACACUGUCAACAUUGGCAGUCUGGUUGUUGCAGUCACUGGAAUGGUGCUGCUGACUUUUGAUUUGUUCUCCUGGAAGUCAAGUAAUAGUCAAUACGAGGACUACAACCGGGUGACAGCCCUCAUCCUGACUGUGACUCUGCUGGAGAUUUGCAUCACCGCUGUGCUUCUGCGAUGGCUGCAUGUGGAGUACAAGGGGGGCUCGGUGGCUUCGAAAAACUCGAGUGGCUCUUGAGUCGAAGAGCUGGAGAGAUCAUUGUUAGCGUUGCACCUUUGCCACAGGGUGCUCGUCUGUAAACUCAGUGGCCUUUACUGCAAACGCUUUUAUGCUGUGUAUUUCAGCUCGCCAGCAUUCACUGAUCGUUUCAAAAAUCUGAAUUUUAAGCCAGAAGAUUUUAAAAUGUAUUUUCUCAAUUAAAAUUAUAUCUAUCGAAACAGUAGCUUUUUUAGGAUUUCCAUUUUAAGUGGUUAAAUAACCCAUUUUUCAUUGAUCCUGUGUGAGAGACUAGGAAUGAAAGGUUAAAAGCUGUUGUGACUGUUGACUGUAUGCUGCAUUAUCAAUUGUUAUUCAGCUGCUCAAGAAGCAUAUAUAUAUAUAUUUUUUUUUAAUAAAGACCAAGUAAUGGGUCCUUUUAAGAACUUU